AUUGAAGCAGAGUUCACUCGCUUAACAUCUAAGGACCUCAUGAAGUCUUUUCUCUCAGGGUUGGAUCAGUAUGUAACCAGGUUCCUUCAGAUGUUUAGAGCCAAGUUGAGCAGCAUUUUCAGAACUGAAAAGUCUUCUAUGCAAGAUUGACCGUGAUGUGAGUAUUUUAGUUGUGUGCUUCAAAUUAAAAUGUGUUUGGGUUAUUUAAGUUUGGAUCUAUAGAGUCACGCAUCAACUAACAUGUCAUUUUCUGUCCACUGUUCCUUUCCCUUUUCUCUCCAUCAUCAUAUGACCCAAAAUGUGUCCAAAUAUCAGCUUUUAAGGCUGUGCACAGGCUCCUACUCUUCUUCUGCCUAUGUAUGUACAGUUUACUUAAAAUAACAGAUUUUUAAAAAUGUGAUCUUUAGUGUUGUGCAUUGCUGCAAUUUUUUUUUUCACAUCAGUGACGUGCUGCAUCAUGUAAACUUUGAGUUAAAUCGAAGUUUACAUAUAACAUGGGGGAAAUAAUUGAACAUGUCAACUUUUUUUAAUUUUAUUUUUAUUAAACCGUUAAUUAAUUCAACAGUUUAAUUAAACAGCAAUUGACAUGCAAUUGGUAACAACUGAAGAAAUUUACACUUACAAAGAAAUCAUAUUAUAGUUCAUAAAGUUAUGUGUAAUGAAAUGACAAAAGAAAAAAACUAUGUAUUUAAUCUGCAUAGUUAUAGUGAUAAUAAAUGUUUUUCUUAAAUACACUUUGGCAACAAUUAACAGCACCAUUUUAUUCAAUAAUUAUUAAUUUGUUACAAAAUGUUUAUUUAACAUUGCACCACCAGCACCCCGCAUUUUUUUUUUUCAUGGGCUACAUGCCAGCAGGUGCUUCAGCACCCCUGCUUUCCACUAUAAUGGUUAUAAAGCAGUUACAUUGUCAGCCUUGCCCUAAAUCAAUCUAAUCAUUUUUUUCUUUUAUUUAAGAAUUCCAUGUCAAUGAAAAGGGCCGUUGUUCUUCAAGGCCUUCCACAUUACCUCGGCGAGGAUCCAUCAGAUUUCUUCAAGUCAGCUGAGGAAACUGACAUUGAAGACGGUGUGAUGGUGGGAAUGGAUGUGGGCAUUCUCAUAAUGCCUGAUGGAGAUGAUGCCUUUGACUACUACGUGGUAGUGGAGGAACAAGUUGUCCUGAGUGAUGCCAAAGACCUCCCUCAUGCUGUGGCUCAACUAGUCGUACUGAUUUUUGCGCUUAACAUUGAUUAUCCCAAAAAACUACGCUACACAUUUGAGGUAAUUCAGAAGAUUUUAAUUGACCUUGGAGGUGAUCACUGUUCCUUGACGGUGCAUGGACUGAAAAAUAGACUCUUUCGCAAAACUGUUUAG
rnacentral:lncRNA from 1 species